AAAGGAGCAGCAUCGAGAGGGAUAGUGAGCGAGAACUACUGUAAUGCGCAGGAACCGGUACUUUCGGCUUUGCAGAGAGAGGAGAAGCCGGAAAUAAAAUGACGAAGGGUCAGAGAUUCAGGAGGAAUAGGAUUUGGAGGGAACGCAACCAUUCAACAAGUACUAAUUGAGCGCUGUUCUAGGCACAGAGGGUAAAGCCACAGACAAGCAAACGCACUCGUGGAGUUUGCAUACUAACGGGGUGGGAGAGGGGAAAGGAACAAAUGACAAAAAUUUCAGGUAGUGGUAAGGGGUGUGAGAAAAAUWAAGUAGGGGAUAGAGUGAAAUUAUAAGCUGCAUCUCAGAGGAGACCUUUGUGCCCAUACGUGCGUGAUAUGAAGGAAUGAAACUAGGAAGUUAAGGGAUAGAGAAGAGGAACGGCUUUCCAGGCUGAAAGAAAAAACAGCCAUAAACCUAGAGAUGUGGAUGCCCCUGCCAUGUUGAGAAACAGCAAAAGGCCAGUAUGGCUGAGCAUUGUCAGCCUGCCAGAGAGCAGGAAUAGUUAGGCUUAGAAAGGUGGGCAAGUAGCCAGAUCCUGUGGAGCCUAUGGGUCAUUAUAAGAGCAACAGGAAGCUCUGGGAGGAGGGUGAGUCCAGGAAUGACUACAUCUGAUUCAUGUUUUUAAAAAGUCUUGCUGUGUGUGUGUGUGWGAGAGAGAAGUACAUAAUGGAGAAUCACAAAGGCCCACAGGAGACCAGCAAGGAGGCUUUUCUUGUUAGCUUGAGCUAGGAUGGCAGCAGAGUACAAGUGAAUUUUGAGAUUAGCACAGAAAAUGAGCAAACAUUUAGGAUCUCUUUUGGCAACUUGGCGUUACUGUGACAUCUCAGCAAGUGAUCAGURGACUUGUCUCAUUGAACCUGGAGACGGGACCUUGCAAGUUACCCAGGCUGGUCUUGAACUACA